rnacentral:rRNA from 1 species
UACGGGGGGGGCAAGCGUUGUUCGGAAUUACUGGGCGUAAAGGGCUCGUAGGUGGCCAACUAAGUCAGACGUGAAAUCCCUCGGCUUAACCUGGGAAUUGCAUCCGAUACUGCGUGGCUCGAGUUCGGUAGAGGGCAGCAGAAUUCCCGGUGUAGCGGUGAAAUGCGUAGAUAUCGGGAGGAAUACCGAUGGCGAAGGCAACUGCCUGGGCCUGAACUGACACUGUGACACGAAAGCGUGGGUAGCAAACAGG